rnacentral:rRNA from 1 species
CAGUCGCCGCGGGAAUACGUAGGUCCCGAGCGUUGUCCGGAUUUAUUGGGCGUAAAGCGAGCGCAGGCGGUUAGAUAAGUCUGAAGUUAAAGGCUGUGGCUUAACCAUAGUACGCUUUGGAAACUGUUUAACUUGAGUGCAAGAGGGGAGAGUGGAAUUCCAUGUGUAGCGGUGAAAUGCGUAGAUAUAUGGAGGAACACCGGUGGCAAAAGCGGCUCUCUGGCUUGUAACUGACGCUGAGGCUCGAAAGCGUGGGGAGCAAACAGGAUUAGAUACCCGCGUAGUCCCUGUCUCUUAUACC